GCUCAGGUGGCCUAGUGGUUAAAGUUUCUGCUUCGGAUGCGGGAGGUCGUGGAUUCAAUCCCAGGUCCGAGUCA